rnacentral:rRNA from 1 species
CUACGUGCCAGCAGCCGCGGUAAUACGGAAGGUCCAGGCGUUAUCCGGAUUUAUUGGGUUUAAAGGGAGCGUAGGCCGCCUCUUAAGCGUGUUGUGAAAUGCGGGUGCUCAACAUCCGACUUGCAGCGCGAACUGGGGGGCUUGAGUGCGCCGAAAGUAGGCGGAAUUCGUGGUGUAGCGGUGAAAUGCUUAGAUAUCACGAAGAACUCCGAUUGCGAAGGCAGCUUACUGUAGCGCAACUGACGCUGAUGCUCGAAAGCGUGGGUAUCGAACAGGAUUAGAUACCCUGGUAGUCCACGCGGUAAACGAUGGAUGCUCGUUGUUGGCCCUUAUGGUCAGUGACCAAGCGAAAGCGUUAAGCAUCCCACCUGGGGAGUACGCCGGCAACGGUGAAACUCAAAGGAAUUGACGGGGGCCCGCACAAGCGGUGGAUGAUGUGGAUUAAUUCGAUGCAACGCGAAGAACCUUACCUGGUCUUGACAU